ensembl:processed_transcript 9130024F11Rik RIKEN cDNA 9130024F11 gene
AGGCGCACUCGUCCCGGCGCGCAGGCUGCGGCGACUAGGCGGGCGCUCCGUGUCGCGGCUCGCCGCAGAGGCGCAGGCUGGCGCUCGGGAGGCGGCAGAGGCUGCCUCGUCUCCGGGCUCUGUUAAUUGCGCCGCCGAGUACUUUCGACUUUGGAGAUAGGAGGGCGAUCGCCUCCCCCACCCACCGCCUCCGCCCACCACCCACCGCCUCCGCCCCUCGGAGCAACUUUUCUCGGUGCGAGCGAGCUCCCCAUCUGCUCGGAGCCGACCGGCCCGGCCCGAAGCGCUCCCGGCCGCGUUUGGGGAAGGCCACUUCUCCCUCAAAUCCCGUGCGGCCGCGGGUCCGGAACAAUAGCCCGGGUGUCCCGAACGCCUGGAGCGAGACUCCGCCCGUCCGGCUGGCUGUGGGUCCGGCACUGGAGAAAGGGUUGCUCCGUGGGCACAAGGCAGGCUGCAUCCCUGCCACUCUCGCCACGCGGGCUACGUUGCGAGCGGCGCAGCCCGAGCUGCCCGGAGGCCAGAACACUGUGCCGGCCGGGGCGCUGAAGCUGCGCGCCCCUCGGGUUGCAGCACUGGGGCUCCCGAAGACCCUCAGCGGCUGAGGACCGAGUUCGGCGCGAGCAGAGCUGAGCCGUGGGGACCUAGCCUCUCCGCCCCGAGCGAGGCCGCGCCGAUGAGUCCCUAGCUGGUCCUUCUAAGGCUUAGGAGCCACAAACUUUUGCGGACUCCCGCGGCCCUAGCCUUUCGGCUCGCGCAGCUUUACUUGUUUAAGGUGGCGCGGUGACUGCCCGCCAAAACCCCGCUGCCGGCCGCGCUUUUGUCUUGGCCAUUCGGCAUGGGCGCGGACCUCCUUAAAAAAAAAAAAAAAAUAGCACGUGGGCAGGGGCCGCGGCCCCGGCGAGGUGCCUGCCGCGUCCGGCUUCUGUCAGCCCCUGGAACCUCAAAGGAGAAAAUAUGAACCAGUCCUCUCCGGCCUUCCGGCCAGAGAUGCCCCUUGAGCCGGCGGCAUCUCUUGUCCCUUCUGUGCACCGGGGCUUUCCCUCCAGUUCCCCAGGACCCCAAGGACUCGGCUUCCACCGGUUGCCUGAGCCACUAGUCCCCCUUAAGAAGUAUUGACUGUACGGCGGCGCCAGAGGGCCAAACUAAAUUCGGUUUCGGGAAACGCGCUCGAGGCAAUUCUCUAAAUCCUGGCCUUGAGCUGGGCCAGUGGAGAUUGAAUCUGAGAGUAGCGCUGGAGACUGGGCUGCUGUCCACUUGCUUGGUAGCCUACCCCCUUGACCCCACAACGCCCCAAGAGUCGCAAACCCACGGCCAGGGAAGCCUAAGGGCUUCUAAAAGAAAGAGGGUCCCCGAAACGAAACCUGUCCCUGGCCUAAAUCUCGGUGCCCAGACCUCGGUGAGUCCCACUCAAAGGAGCCGCCCACCAACUUCACCAGAAGCCCCAGGCGGCAAGGGGAGCCCUGCCGAGCCGAGUCGAGCCUGGCAGGGUAGUAAUCCUCCAGAGAGCCACCGCAGUUUUAGGAAGCCUUUUUCUUUUCCCUGUUUUUUUCUUCCCCCAAAUUCCGUGCUCCCACGAACAUGCCCAGCCAAAGGGGCUAAAGAAAAUUCCAAGCCCGUGAAAGCAAAGUGGCUCAAGUAAAAUCAGCCCUUGAAGGUAGCUGAAAGGUUGUUUUUUGGUUUUUGGUUUUUUUUUUUUUUUUUUAAAGCAAUGAAAGAAAGAAACUGUAAGUUUGAUUUACAAACUUUAAAAAAGAACAAUGUUAUAGCAUAUCGAAAUGAAAAGGGGUGUUUCAAAAACUUAGCUAUCGCUGUCAAACUAAGCCUGCUUUUUAAAUUGGAAAUGCAUAUAUUUUAUUUAUAUACUAACUGUAUUAAACCCCCCCCUCCCACCCCGUUUUCUUUCUUACCUUGGUGUUGGAACUACAGAAUCCACCUCCGGCCCAAUGUCCACGAACUAAGAAGAAUUGAUGAUAUUAGGACUUGAGGACUUCUGGAAAAAAAUGCAAAUCGUUUAGUGGGGAUCUUUUUUGUCUGAUUCGUCACUAUUAUUAUAUCUGAUGAUGCGAUGGUUGGAACGAUUCUAUCCUGUCAUUAAUUAGCUAUUUUAUAAAAAUCACUGUCGGAAAAUCGUCAUUUGCGUUUUGCUAAGGAUCUCUUCGCUAACCUCACUGGCGUGUGUCAACAGUAUAAUUAUGAACUUCAGCUACAACUCUUAUAAACAACACGGCAGUAUUGUUUAAUCGGUUAAUAUUUUAUAAAGUGUACAUAUUUUAUUAUGCUUUGAGGGGAACUAUUGAUACUAAGUUAUUUUUAAAAAGAGAAAGUCUAUUUAAAUAAAGCAUACAAUUAAGUUCAAUUAAAUGUGCACUGUGGCUAGAUUCUACACCCUUUCAAAUUCAUUAUUUCUUUUGUCUAUUUUUGAUAAUGUAAAGAAAAUCUACCAUUUGGAACAAGUAAUUCUAAAUUNNNNNNNNNUACAUUUUAAAAAUUAAACAAAUUACAUUUAAUAUACAUGACAAUGUGUAAUUUGAUGUCAUUACCAAAAGUGUACUUUGAAUGUUGGCAGAUUUAUUUUUAGUAGAGCAUUUUCAAAUUUCUCUCGUUUCAUAAAAGGAGAAUUCUAGAAAGUUUUGCCAUGCAUACCCAGUGUGAAUUUUUCCCUGUAGUUUUGACCCGGAUAAAGGCCUUUUCUGUUUCAAGUGACAUGUUUUUCCCAAUCCAGUUUUGUUAACUUCAUUUCAGCUAAAGCAAAUAUUUUCAAACACUUCUAAUUGCUACAGUAAUUUAUAUUUGAAAUAACACUUUUAAAACAUUUGUCAUUUUCAUUUUUAAAAACAGUGAAUAAAUAUAUUUGAUGAUGAU